rnacentral:rRNA from 1 species
CAGUCGCCGCGGUAAGACGAACCGUGCGAACGUUAUUCGGAAUCACUGGGCUUAAAGCGCGUGUAGGCGGGAGGGCACGUCCGUCGCUGAAAUCCCCCGGCUCAACCGGGGAACGGGCGCGGAUACGACUCUUCUGGAGGAACGUAGGGGGACCUGGAACUUCCGGUGGAGCGGUGAAAUGCGUUGAGAUCGGAAGGAACGCCCGUGGCGAAAGCGAGGUCCUGGACGUUUACUGACGCUGAGACGCGAGAGCCAGGGGAGCGAACGGGAUUAGAUACCCGAGUAGUCCCUGUCUCUUAUA